ncrna:Salmonella enterica subsp. enterica serovar Agona str. 07.O.05 EFASI RNA
UCGUUCUGAUGUCGGAAGGCGUCAUCGUAAGAUGACGGGGAGUAAAAAAUCGCCCUGGUGCACAGGUAGCGAACUCCUGUAAAAACUCAACAUGUGCAAGCUCUGCUACAUCGACAUCAAACG